CGAAAAAUGUAGAAGGAACGAGUAUGUUAUAGACCAUCGUCCAGAGAGGGAUUCCCAGGCUGCAAGAAUUCCCGAUGAAGGAUAACAGAAAGCUAUUCCGGAGUGCAGGCAAAACCUGCCGUAGCAGCUGCGUUAAAGCGUUUUUGAGAGAUGGGCGCACGUAUUUGUGUCCAUAAUCAGGGUGGUACCGCGAGCAAGCUCUCGUCCCUGUC
rnacentral:ncRNA from 1 species